AUUGAACGCUGGCGGCAGGCCUAACACAUGCAAGUCGAGCGGAGCGGCGGAGGGGUGCGUAAUGCCUAGGUCUCUGCCUGGUCGCGGGGGAUAACGUCCGGAAACGGGCGCUAUUACCGCAUCCUAUCACAUUAGCCUAGGUCGGAUUAGCUAGUUGGUGGGGUAAAGGCCUACCAAGGCGACGAUCCGUAACUGGUCUGAGAGGAUGAUCAGUCACACUGGAACUGAGACACGGUCCAGACUCCUACGGGAGGCAGCAGUGGGGAAUAUUGGACAAUGGGCGAAAGCCUGAUCCAGCCAUGCCGCGUGUGUGAAGAAGGUCUUCGGAUUGUAAAGCACUUUAAGUUGGGAGGCGUUACCAACAGAAUAAGCACCGGCUAACUUCGUGCCAGCAGCCGCGGUAAUUC
rnacentral:rRNA from 1 species